rnacentral:lncRNA from 1 species
AAAUAUUUAUGAAAAAACCUUAAAAUUUUAUAAAAUAAUAUUUAAGAAUUAUAAAAAAAUUAUUUUAUCAAAAUAAAUUUUAAAAAUUAACAUAAAAAAAUUGAAAAUCAAAUCGAGCUAAAACCAACUUAUAAUCAACUAUUAAAAAUUUUAAAAAGCUGGACGGAACCAAACUGAUAUCUCACCUAAUUAUUUGGUCAUUACGUACUAGCAACUUAUAGGAUAUUUUUUUCAGUAUCCUUUCCCAAUAAUUACGUUGCUAACCUAAAGUCAAAGAAUGCAAAUUCUUACUUUGUAAAUAUAUAUAUAAUGUAAGACCCAAUUUUAGCCCGGGCCCAUGCACAUACAAAAACCAAAGAAUAAAACAAAAUAUUAAAUGUCUAUUUACAAAUAAUAAACCCAAAAAGAAAACCAAGCACAAUUACAUUAAAAUAGCCUGGUGACAGAAGGCUCAAAUUCAGAAACCCUCGGUUCCUUUCUUCCCCUUGCGCCGCAGCCCCCCACGUUCAACGCCCCACGCACGUCAAUACGCCCACACACGACCACUAGCUCGCGCGUCCAUGACCCACGAUCAUGCACUCUCCCACGAUACCUGCAAUUUGAACAAAGAAAUAGGCAGAAACGGUUUUUGUAUUCGGCUAUAAAGUUUUUGAAUUUCGAUUGUAAAAGGGUUGGGUUUUUUUUUUAUCUUUUUUGGGAGAGAAUAUAGAUUCAAAAUCAAAAGCAAGCAGAGAUCUAUAAUAACAACAUUUGUUAAAGGUGAUUCUUUUAGUUUUUUUCUUUUUUCGGUUUUUCUAUUUUUCUUACUUUAUUUUUUUCUUUUGUGUGUAAAAAACGAUAUAAGAGAAAGAGGGAAACUCACCGGAGUUACAUCGCACUCGCAUCACAAGAAGGCCCUGCUCCGGUCGUCGUAAUCAAUCACGGAGGCAGUUGAAGGCUUGGUGUUGGCCUUGUUUGCGGCUGGAAGAAAGAGGAAAGUGGAGGAGAAGAAAGAGUUUUGGGUUUUUUUAAAAAGAAAUCAAAGUUAAAAUGUUUUUUUUAGCAAAAGAAUGACUUUAAAACAAGCUUUACUUUUAAUAAUACAAUAAAGGUUCUUGACUUUAAAACAUGUUGACC